AGACUGUAUGAAAUGGUCUAUGGUGCGCCAUCAAAUUGAGUUGGUCUUCAGAUGGCCUGGUGCUUCUUUAAUGCCUUGUUUGUAUAUUCAACACCUGGGUAUCAAUGUGCCGUCCUGGAUGCUAGCGUAAAGUGAUAGACAGAGCACAUGAAGGGAUCAAGAGGAAACCAGGCCAAUGUCUCAUUUGGGAAGAACUUUAACAUGGAAACCAGAUGCUGAAAAGAGACUAGUGGCUUCAGUAUGUAUCUGGAGAAAGAAAGCCUGCUCCUGGCCAAGUAAUGCCUUACAGGCUACAAGACAAACUCCAGUUGCUAACAAGAGCAUUGGAAAGCCAUUGGAGACUUUGAUGCAGAUCCCAAGCACAAUGUCAUGGCCUGCUUUUCUUCUCAGUUGUCCAAGAGCAAUGUGGAUGGUGACUUGGGUACAGGAAGUCAGUGCUUUCUUCCAGAGAAGUUGGUGGCUUAGACUGGGGACAAAGAGAUGGGGAGGAUAUUUGAAAUGCAUUACAGGGCGAAAAUGAAUUUAUUGCUGAUUCUACUAGGAUAAGGGAAAAAAUAAUUGCCAGACCUUUGGCUUGGAUUCUUGGGUGGUAUCUAAGUCAGGGUUUCUAUUCCUGCACAAACAUCAUGACCAAGAAGCAAGUUGGGGAGGAAAGGGUUUAUUCAGCUUACACUUCCAUACUGCUGUUCAUCACCAAAGGAAGUCAGGACUGGAACUCAAGCAGGUCAGGAAGCAGGAGCUGAUGCAGAGGCCAUGGAGGGAUGUUCUUUACUGGCUUGCCUCCCUGGGCAUGCUCAGCCUGCUCUCUUAUAGAACCAAGACUACCAGCCCAGAGAUGGUCCCACCCACAAGGGGCCUUUCCCCCUUGAUCACUAAUUGAAAAAAUGUCUUACAGUUGGAUCUCAUGGAGGCAUUUCCUCAACUGAAGCUCCUUUCUCUGUGAUAACUCCAGCUGUGCCAAGUUGACCCACAAAACUAGCCAGUACAGGUGGGGACUAGGUGAUAGGUGAUGCUGUUUAUUAAGGUCUGGCAAAUAGCAAAUCUCCCCCUUCUGGGAUUUCCGUGAAAAUUGCUAAGGAGAUAUCUGUGUGCAGGAACACUGUAUUUUGGGAUCUGCUUACAAACACUUAAGCCUCUUCACCCAGAUUGCCUGUUCUUCCAGGGUCACCCAGCCAGGCUUUUUAGUGUGGUGCUAUGUUAUUUGUAGGCCCUCUCUUUGAGUAGUUGUCAAGCAUUUCCUGUUUCAUGUUAUUCCACCCAUCUAAACAAACAAAACAAUUCCGAGAGUCAGCUUAAAACCACUCAGCCUCCAUUAAAUCUCAAGACCACUGAGACAGGGUUUGUCUGACCCUACUACACUAAAACCUUCAAAAAUUGCUUGAAUUUAAUCGCACACUAUUUCACUUUGGGGCUGGUAGGAAAACACUUCCUAUUCAUGUGCUUGGCAGCCUUGGU
rnacentral:lncRNA from 1 species